GUCUAGCUGGCAGAUGUCAUCUGACCUUGACCUCAUUUUCAUGGUUCAUGAUCAAAGUAAAUUUUUAGUUUUGGUCUUUUUUUCUACUACUAUAUGCAAUAGGUCAAUUAUAUUUGAUGUAUGGAAAUAUUUUAUGAUAUAUAUGUCAGCCCAGCAGGUUUUAUUUGACCUUGACCUCCUUUUUGUGUGUUGGUCUGGGUUUUUUAAACUACAAGCAUUAGGUCAAUUAUAUUUGUUGUAUGGAAGAAUUGUAAGCUGUGCAUGUCUGUCUGGUACUAUUCAUCUUACCUUGACCUCAUUUUCAUAUGGUUCAUUGCUCAAUGUUUAGUUUUCUUGAUUAAAGUUAAGUUUAUGUGACAGUUGUAAUCAUGGUAAUAAAACUUUAUAUUUAGGACUAUCAACAUAAUAUCAAUGAUUAGUAAAGAAGGCGAGACAUUUCAGCAUGUGCACUCUUGUUUUUUUUAUAUCAAUUGACAAAAUUAAUUGUAUUGAGCAAGUGCUUUAUAAGGAAAUAAGAUAUGUGUAUCAAAUUUUUAAAUUGUGACAUGGCCUUGUUUUCUACU
rnacentral:lncRNA from 1 species